AACACAUGCAAGUCGAGGGGCAUCAGGAAGUUAGCUUGCUAACUUGCUGGCGACCGGCGCACGGGUGAGUAACGCGUAUCAACCUUCCCCAUAGUAGAGGACAGCCCGGCGAAAGUCGGAUUAAUACUCUAUGUUCUUCGUGGAUGGCAUCUGAAAUGAAGCAAAGAUUUAUCGCUAUGGGAUGGGGGAUGCGUCUGAUUAGGCAGCAGGCGGGGUAACGGCCCACCUGGCCGACGAUCAGUAGGGGUUCUGAGAGGAAGGUCCCCCACAUUGGAACUGAGACACGGUCCAAACUCCUACGGGAGGCAGCAGUGAGGAAUAUUGGUCAAUGGGCGUAAGCCUGAACCAGCCAAGUAGCCGUGAGGGAUGACUGCCCUAUGGGUUGUAAACCUCUUUUUUACGGGAAUAAAUGCUCCUACGUGUAGGAGUUUGCAUGUACCGUACGAAUAAGGACCGGCUAAUUCCGUGCCAGCAGCUGC
rnacentral:rRNA from 1 species